GUACACAAAAAUGCACAUAUUGUGAGCUCGAUGAGUAGGGCGGGACACGUGGUAUCCUGUCUGAAUAUGGGGGGACCAUCCUCCAAGGCUAAAUACUCCUGACUGACCGAUAGUGAACCAGUACCGUGAGGGAAAGGCGAAAAGAACCCCGGCGAGGGGAGUGAAAAAGAACCUGAAACCGUGUACGUACAAGCAGUGGGAGCCUCUUAAUGGGGUGACUGCGUACCUUUUGUAUAAUGGGUCAGCGACUUAUAUUCUGUAGCAAGGUUAACCGAAUAGGGGAGCCGAAGGGAAACCGAGUCUUAACUGGGCGUUAAGUUGCAGGGUAUAGACCCGAAACCCGGUGAUCUAGCCAUGGGCAGGUUGAAGGUUGGGUAACACUAACUGGAGGACCGAACCGACUAAUGUUGAAAAAUUAGCGGAUGACUUGUGGCUGGGGGUGAAAGGCCAAUCAAACCGGGAGAUAGCUGGUUCUCCCCGAAAGCUAUUUAGGUAGCGCCUCGUGAAUUCAUCUCCGGGGGUAGAGCACUGUUUCGGCAAGGGGGUCAUCCCGACUUACCAACCCGAUGCAAACUGCGAAUACCGGAGAAUGUUAUCACGGGAGACACACGGCGGGUGCUAACGUCCGUCGUGAAGAGGGAAACAACCCAGACCGCCAGCUAAGGUCCCAAAGUCAUGGUUAAGUGGGAAACGAUGUGGGAAGGCCCAGACAGCCAGGAUGUUGGCUUAGAAGCAGCCAUCAUUUAAAGAAAGCGUAAUAGCUCACUGGUCGAGUCGGCCUGCGCGGAAGAUGUAACGGGGCUAAACCAUGCACCGAAGCUGCGGCAGCGACACUAUGUGUUGUUGGGUAGGGGAGCGUUCUGUAAGCCUGUGAAGGUGGCCUGUGAGGGUUGCUGGAGGUAUCAGAAGUGCGAAUGCUGACAUAAGUAACGAUAAAGCGGGUGAAAAGCCCGCUCGCCGGAAGACCAAGGGUUCCUGUCCAACGUUAAUCGGGGCAGGGUGAGUCGACCCCUAAGGCGAGGCCGAAAGGCGUAGUCGAUGGGAAACAGGUUAAUAUUCCUGUACUUGGUGUUACUGCGAAGGGGGGACGGAGAAGGCUAUGUUGGCCGGGCGACGGUUGUCCCGGUUUAAGCGUGUAGGCUGGUUUUCCAGGCAAAUCCGGAAAACCAAGGCUGA
rnacentral:rRNA from 1 species